rnacentral:rRNA from 1 species
UUGAACUUUGAUCUCAAAUCAGGUAGGACUACCCGCUGAACUUAAGCAUAUCAAUAAGCGGAGGAAAAGAAACUAACAAGGAUUCCCCUAGUAACUGCGAGUGAAGCGGGAAAAGCUCAAAUUUAAAAUCUGGCGGUCCUUGCGGCUGUCCGAGUUGUAAUCUAGAGAAGUGUUUUCCGUGCUGGACC